rnacentral:rRNA from 1 species
GAUGAACGCUGGCGGCGUGCCUAAUACAUGCAAGUCGAGCGAACAGAUGAGGAGCUUGCUCCUCUGACGUUAGCGGCGGACGGGUGAGUAACACGUGGAUAACCUACCUAUAAGACUGGGAUAACUUCGGGAAACCGGAGCUAAUACCGGAUAAUAUAUUGAACCGCAUGGUUCAAUAGUGAAAGACGGUUUUGCUGUCACUUAUAGAUGGAUCCGCGCCGCAUUAGCUAGUUGGUAAGGUAACGGCUUACCAAGGCAACGAUGCGUAGCCGACCUGAGAGGGUGAUCGGCCACACUGGAACUGAGACGCGGUCCAGACUCCUACGGGAGGCAGCAGUAGGGAAGCGUGCGCAAUGGGCGAAAGCCUGACGGAGCAACGCCGCGUGAGUGAUGAAGGUCUUCGGAUCGUAAAACUCUGUUAUUAGGGAAGAACAAAUGUGUAAGUAACUAUGCACGUCUUGACGGUACCUAAUCAGAAAGCCACGGCUAACUACGU